GACGAACCGUGCGAACGUUGUUCGGAAUCACUGGGCUUAAAGGGCGCGUAGGCGGGUUCUCAAGUCAGGGGUGAAAUCUUUCGGCUUAACCGGAAAAGUGCCCCUGAUACUGAGAGUCUCGAGGGAGGUAGGGGCAUGUGGAACUAAUGGUGGAGCGGUGAAAUGCGUAGAUAUCAAGCGGAACACCAGUGGCGAAGGCGAGUCCCUGGACAACUCCUGACACUGAGGCACGAAAGCUAGGGGAGCAAACAGG
rnacentral:rRNA from 1 species